rnacentral:rRNA from 1 species
GAUGAACGCUAGCUACAGGCUUAACACAUGCAAGUCGAGGGGUAACAAGAGGAAAGCUUGCUUUUCUUGUUGACGACCGGCGCACGGGUGAGUAACGCGUAUCCAACCUGCCUAUAACUAGGGAAUAACCUUGCGAAAGUAAGACUAAUACCCUAUGAUUUCCUUUGAUGACAUCAGAUUAGGAAUAAAGAUUUAUCGGUUAUAGAUGGGGAUGCGUCUGAUUAGCUUGUUGGCGGGGUAACGGCCCACCAAGGCAACGAUCAGUAGGGGUUCUGUGAGGAAGGUCCCCCACAUUGGAACUGAGACACGGUCCAAACUCCUACGGGAGGCAGCAGUGAGGAAUAUUGGUCAAUGGGCGGAAGCCUGAACCAGCCAAGUAGCGUGCAGGAUGACGGCCCUAUGGGUUGUAAGCUGCUUUUAUACAGGAAUAAAGUUAGCCACGUGUGGUUAUUUGUAGGUACUGUAUGAAUAAGGACCGGCUAAUUCCGUGCCAGCCGCCGCGGUAA